AGCAAGUGCUUGGAGCUACAAGGAGACCCCCUGUCCACUAUGGGCAACCAGGUGCUCUGGUGGGUGGCCCUUUGUCUCCUGGGAGCAGGCACCUUGGACCGUGGAAUCACUCAGAGCCCAAAAUACUUGUCCAGAGAGGAAGGACUAGAUGUGACCCUGGAGGGUGAACAGAAUUUUAAUUGCGACAACAUGUACUGGUACCAACAGGACCCAGGACAAGGGCUGAGACUCAUCUACUACUCACAACUUGUAAAUGAUCUUCAGAAAGGAGACAUAUCUGAAGGCUACAGCUCCUCUCCGGAGAAGAAGGCACUCUUUCUUCUCACUGUGACAUCGACCCAAAAGAACCAGACAGCCCUGUAUCUCUGUCCCAGUAGCAGAGACACAGUGAAGCACAGCCACCUCCUCUCCAUGCAUAAAUGUGUCCCAAGCCUUCCUUCCCCACCAGGUGGCAGGGCUUUUCUGGAUUCAGUGGCCUGA